AUUGAACGCUGGCGGCAGGCCUAACACAUGCAAGUCGGACGGUAGCACAGAGAGCUUGCUCUCGGGUGACGAGUGGCGGACGGGUGAGUAAUGUCUGGGGAUCUGCCCGAUAGAGGGGGAUAACCACUGGAAACGGUGGCUAAUACCGCAUAACGUCGCAAGACCAAAGAGGGGGACCUUCGGGCCUCUCACUAUCGGAUGAACCCAGAUGGGAUUAGCUAGUAGGCGGGGUAACGGCCCACCUAGGCGACGAUCCCUAGCUGGUCUGAGAGGAUGACCAGCCACACUGGGACUGAGACACGGUCCAGACUCCUACGGGAGGCAGCAGUGGGGAAUAUUGCACAAUGGGCGCAAGCCUGAUGCAGCCAUGCCGCGUGAGUGAGGAAGGACUUCGGUCUGUAAAGCUCUGUUAAUGUGGAAAAAUGUUAGUUGGUCUAAUAGGCCGAUUAAUUGAUGGUACACAUAGAGGAAGCACCGGCUAACUUCGUGCCAGCAGCCGCAGUAA
rnacentral:rRNA from 1 species